rnacentral:rRNA from 1 species
CGGACGGGUGGAGUAACGCGUGAGCAACCUGCCUUUCAGAGAGGGAUAACGUUUGGAAACGAACGCUAAUACCGCAUGACAUUAUCUUAUCGCAUGGUAGGAUAAUCAAAGGAGCAAUCCGCUGAAAGAUGGGUUCGCGUCCGAUUAGGUAGUUGGUGGGGUAACGGCCCACCAAGCCGACGAUCGGUAGCCGGACUGAGAGGUUGGACGGCCACAUUGGGACUGAGACACGGCCCAGACUCCUACGGAAGGCAGCAG